rnacentral:miRNA from 1 species
CCUGGGAUCUUGUUAAAAUGAAUGUCUGAUUCACGAGGUCUGGGGUGGACCCUUAGAUUCUGCAUUUCUAACAAGAUCCCAGGUGAUGCUGAUGCUGCUGUUUGAAGACCACUCUUAAGAGUA